AAAAAUUUAGUUAAUAUUAUAACAUUAACUUGUCAAGUUAAAAUAACUAAUUAAUAGUAAUUUUUA
rnacentral:tRNA from 1 species